UCCGCCUCUGUCUUCUCAACGUUACGCAGACCGCAGCCAGCAGCCAUUUUUUUUUCUUUUCCAUUGCUUCCUCAGCCGAGUCAGCUCUUACCUCCACGCCCCAGCCAGCCGCUCCAUCAGUCCAUCAGAACUCUUCAUCGAAGAUUUGCAUAUCCGCGGCCCAUUACUCCACGCCUCCACCGACCACCGUCGUCCGGCUAUUCUCCUCCGUGGCUCCGUCCGUUCACCAUUCGUCCACCAUUAUAGAUUUGUAGCCUCAGAUUUUGAUGAAUUUUAUUGGCAGUGUGAGUGUGUGACCCUGCAGCUUCUUCGCCCCCACUCAAAGGAAAUUCUGGCUCCGUCCCUGCAUUUUUCCUUGUUUCAUAUGUGUGUUAUGGUUGCUGUCGUGGUUAUGAUUCACAUAUAAGCCCAAAACAGAACGGGCUGAAGGUCAAAUAGCCUGCUAAUAAUGGGCUAAAAUUGCUAAUAAGAUUAUAAUAAAUCCCUGCCGCUGCAGCGCUGCUCUGCCUGCUUGGCCGGCGGCUGCUGCUCCCUUUUUGAUCCUCAAUCCAAAUGGCGGGAACCUUGAUUCACAGAGCCACUCUCGACGCGGAGAACCCACUCGAAGCAUCGCUAAGGGAAUCUUUCAACCUUCACGAACCACAUCUACGGCCGCCCUUUUCUCUCAGAACUUUCACUCCAGACCAGUACUCAAGCCUCAACGACGCCAUUCUUUUCGGCAUUCUACGGGAACCCCAUUUUGCGAAAACCCACAUCAAGCACCUCCAUGCUAUCACCACUGAUGGGUAUUGCUACUUCACCUCUAUGAUUACCAGAAUCGUGGAUGAAUUGUAUGGAAAGUUUAUUGAUUCUGCAAAAAUUCAGCUGAUUUGGUUGACAAAUGAGAUGAUUAAUGUGUUAGCUGUAGGGUUUGAUAGGCUGUUAGUGGCUCUUCUAAGGCAAAUUGUAGGGGGAGAUUUCAGUGAAGGUAAUUUAUGGCUGUGUUCUGAGAUGGUUAGUGUUUUUCUUAACAAAUGGGACUGUAUACUAGAAGAAGAACCCUUGAUUUUGACUUAUGGUUUGUAUGUGUUUCUUAGGGUAUUGGCUGAUCAUAGCAGGUUAUGUAGUGAUCCAAGGCUAGAUGUGUUGAAGAGAUUGGAGAUAGAGUUUUGUGUUAGGGUUUUGAGGGAACAAUUUGCUUUGUGUUUGAAGAUAGGGAGGGAUCUCAUUAGGCUUUUACAAGAUUUGGUCCAUAUAGUCGAGUUUAAGUCCAUAUGGAAAGACUUGUUGUUGAAUCCAGGGCAGUUCAAAGUGGAUGGUUUUGAGGGUGUAUUGCAAAUCUAUCGUUUAAGGACACCAAAUUUGUAUUUUUCGCUUAGAAUCACGCCUGAAAUGGAGAGGAAGUUGAGAUAUUUGGUUAUGAAUGUGAAGUUUGGGAAUCAGAGGAGGUACCAGGUGUGGUUUGCAAAAAAGUUUUUGUUUUUGUCUGAGAGGGAGACUCUUUUGGUAGACGCUGUGAGGUAUAUCUGCUCUAUGCGCCACCCCUCGGGUGAAGUUAUAGAACCCGAGGCAAUUCCGAGAUGGGCUGUGAUUGGUUGGUUGUUGAAGUGUUGCAGGAAAAGCUAUAUUGAAGCGAACUUGAAGCUGGCUUUGUUUUAUGAUUGGCUGUUUUUUGAUGAGAAGGAGGAUAAUGUAACGAGCAUUGAACCUGCAAUUUUGUUGAUGGUGAACUCUAUUCCAAAGUAUGUUGAUGUGACCAACACCCUUCUUGAGUUUCUCUUGAUUUUGGUUGACAAUUAUGAUGUUGAUAGGAAGGAUCUCAUCAUCAACGGGGUAGUAAAUUCUAUUCGUGUUCUUGUUAGUAAAGGUGUUAUUGGCUCACUUGAUGUCUUGACUCACUGCGAUCUGCUGUCUCCCUUGCUCAGAGAAAUGCUCGGGAAAUUGUUACUACUCACCCAAACUACCCAUUCCGAAGACUUGCAAUGAACUUGUCUUCCCGACAAUAUUUAGACCUCAAUACACAUAACUGCCGACCAGUUUCAGCCAUGCUAGACAUGUUUGAAUAUGGUGAAAAUUGAACUGAAGUGGGGAAUAGGUAGACUGGAAUUGGCUUCAAAAAGCUAUUUUGGCUAACUGUAUAGAUAUAACAAGCAAAGAAGCAAGGGAGCUUGGCAUCGAUGGAUAGUGAGCAACAAGAGGGCAUGCUUGAAUAAGUUUACAGAAUCAACAAGUGUUUAUGAAAUCACCCUGCAAUCAAGAAUCCCUGAAAAGAAACAGAUAUGCUUCACAGACACAAAGGUUCCAUAGAAAGGCCUUGGGAAGGAGCCUGUUAUUGUUCUCAUUGAUAGAGUUUUUAUUCUUGCUCAUCCUGCUAUUGUUGGUAGGUCUCUUAAGGAAGAGGACCAGGAGAAACUCUUUGAGGCCAAACUACAACAAAUCGAGUUUCAGAGAGACCUAGUUUAUGGUGGCGUUAUGCUGCCCAAGCUGGAUUGCAGCAGAAUAAAAUGUGGCGAGCUUCUUCUGAAGAUGUCCCAGCUGGGGAGACUUCCGAGGAAUCAAAAUCUGUCGAGGAUAGAUUGACCAAGGAGGAAUGGCAAUCUAUCAAUAAAUUGCUCAGUUACCAGCCAGAUGAGAAUGUGACACUGCAACAUGGAAAGGAGAUGCGAAAUACGAUAAACUAUUUGAUCGAUGUUUCUAUUGGUAGGGCAGCGGCAAUGAUUAUCAAUGUUGAUCAGACAGAAAUUCUUUGUGGCAGAUUUGAACAUCUUAAUGUGUCGAGUAACUUAAAGCAUCGAACCAUACACUGUGACGUCUCAUUAAAGUUUUAUGGACUGUCUGCUCCUGAGGGUUCGCUUGCUCAGAUGACACCACUUUUUGAUGUCACAAUCACAAAUCUCAAACUUGCAAUACAUGGAAGCAAUGAAUGCUGUGUACUCAUUUCUUCAAUAGCUGCAUCAACUUUCAACACGCAUCUACAGGCAUGGGAGCCACUUGUAGAGACAUUUGAUGGAAUUGUAAUUGUGAUGAUAUGGCAGUAGGACUCACUUUCGAAAAACAGAGUUUUCCAAAGAUGUAGAUAGCCGAAUAGUAGUGAAUUGUAGUUGUGAUGAUAUGAGAGUAUGACUCACUUUCAAAAGAGAGCGUUCCGAGGACGUAGAUGUUGAAUAGUAGUGAAUUGCAGUUGUGAUGAUAUGUCGAUAGAACUCUCUUUUAAAAGAGAGAGCGAUCCAAGGAUGUAGAUAGUCGAAUAGUAGUGAAUUGCAGUUGUGAGGAUAUGGCAGAGUACGACUCAAUUUCAAAAGAGAGAGCGUUCUGAGGAUGUAGAUAACCGCGCUAUUUUUACCUCCCUAAUUAGGAGGCCACUUGUCAGCUAGAGUGGUUCUCUAAUUACCUUUGGAGGCAUCUAUUUGGAAGAAUGUGUGGAAGACAAGAGGAUGGGUUGUAACAAGAAACUGAAUCAUACAAGCUUCUCAUGAUUGAUGAUGUAGUUCAACAUGGUGGUACCCAAAUGAAUCAUCAUACAAAGUGAAAGUAGAUGUCCAAUAAUUGAUCUUAUCCCCACGUCUACUUCUUUCAUGACAGAAAUGUUAUGUUUAUCUUUGUUGUUUAUACAAAUCUAUCACCUAAAACUAUUAGUGGGUUAAAAUAUUUGGAUAGUGAUGUGUUUGAUUAUGUGAUUGGUUUUUUUUUUUUUUU